GAAACUGUUUUGGGAUAGU
rnacentral:siRNA from 1 species